ensembl:snRNA U6 U6 spliceosomal RNA
GUUCUCACUUUGGCAACACAUACACGAAAAAGGAACGAUACGAAGAAAAUUAGCAAGGCGCCUGCCCAAGGAUGACACACAAAUUCAUGAAGUGUUCCGUAUUUUU